GACGAACGCUGGCGGCGUGCUUAACACAUGCAAGUCGAACGGAAAGGCCCUGCUUUUGUGGGGUGCUCGAGUGGCGAACGGGUGAGUAACACGUGAGUAACCUGCCCUUGACUUUGGGAUAACUUCAGGAAACUGGGGCUAAUACCGGAUAGGAGCUCCUGCUGCAUGGUGGGGGUUGGAAAGUUUCGGCGGUUGGGGAUGGACUCGCGGCUUAUCAGCUUGUUGGUGGGGUAGUGGCUUACCAAGGCUUUGACGGGUAGCCGGCCUGAGAGGGUGACCGGCCACAUUGGGACUGAGAUACGGCGCAGACUCCUACGGGAGGCAGCAGGGGGGAAUAUUGCACAAUGGGCGGAAGCCUGAUGCAGCAACGCCGCGUGCGGGAUGACGGCCUUCGGGGUGUAAACCGCUUUCGCCUGUGACGAAGCGGGAGUGACGGUAAUGGGUAAAGAAGCACCGGCUAACUACGUG
rnacentral:rRNA from 1 species